AGUGAACGCUGGCGGUAGGCCUAACACAUGCAAGUCGAAUGGCAGCACAGUAAGAGCUUGCUCUUACGGGUGGCGAGUGGCGGACGGGUGAGGAAUACAUCGGAAUCUACUUUUUCGUGGGGGAUAACGUAGGGAAACUUACGCUAAUACCGCAUACGACCUACGGGUGAAAGCAGGGGAUCUUCGGACCUUGCGCGAUUGAAUGAGCCGAUGUCGGAUUAGCUAGUUGGCGGGGUAAAGGCCCACCAAGGCGACGAUCCGUAGCUGGUCUGAGAGGAUGAUCAGCCACACUGGAAAUGAGACACGGUCGAGACUCCUACGGGAGGCAGCAGUGGGGAAUAUUGGAGAAUGGGCGCAAGCCUGAUCCAGCCAUACCGCGUGGGUGAAGAAGGCCUUCGGGUUGUAAAGACCUUUUGUUGGGAAAGAAAAGCAGCAGGUUAAUACCCCGCUGUUCUGACGGUACCAAAAGAAUAAGCACCGGCUAACUUCGCG
rnacentral:rRNA from 1 species